ACGUGAUCUGAGUUCAGACCGGAGUAAUCCAGGUCGGUUUCUAUCUAUAUUAAAGCUUAUUCUAGUACGAAAGGACCGAAAAAGCAUGGCCCCUGCCUAAAGCAAACCAUCAUUAAAAAUUCCUGCCCACAACUUAACUAAUUAUUAAUCUAUCACGUUUUUCAAGAUCAGAAA
rnacentral:rRNA from 1 species